AGGAUUCAUGGUGUCUUGCAUGGAUAAAAUCUAAAAGGCGUGUUGCUAUUGGCGAUUUAUUCUUAAGAGAUAAACUAGUUGUCUAUGAUGCUGAGAAUAAGCUCGUGGGUUGGAAGGAAUAUAAUUGCUCCUCAAGCAUUAAAGUUGAAGAUGAUACAACGGGCGGAGUUUGUGACAUUAAUGCACACAACUAUACAGCCCCACUCAGCUAAUCGGAAACGGGAAUGUUCACCAUUUUGCUGCUAUUUCCUUUCCCACUGUUUUUAAUGGAUGGUGCCGCUCAAAUAAGUUCGUUUGAUUAUGUUUUUCCCCCUUUCUUUUUGUACACUGAAUUUUCACGUUUAGAGGUUGUUGACAAUUUUUCCAGGAUUGUUUCCGCUCUCAAUAGGAUAGAAAAAAAAGAGCAAGAUUGUUUUUAUGUGUUUUUUAAUGUGUGUACGUGAUAUAUAAGAUUGCAAUGUGGGAGUAUUUGCAAUUCCUUUUUCGCCUGACA